rnacentral:rRNA from 1 species
GAUCAUUAAUGAAUUGUAAUUGGAGUUGAUGCUGGCAGUGGCUGCAUGAGCUCGCUCCUAACAAUCUUCAUCCAAACACCUGUGCACAUUUAGAGAGGGUCUCCGAGUUCUCCUUGGAGUCCCUUCCUCUCAUUAUACACUAGUUUUUAAUAUUGAACGUGAUUGUGCCGUGAGGCCUUAAUAUUAAUACAACUUUUAACAACGGAUCUCUUGGCUCUCGCAUCGAUGAAGAACGCAGCGAAAUGCGAUAAGUAAUGUGAAUUGCAGAAUUCAGUGAAUCAUCGAAUUUUUGAACGCACCUUGCGCUCCCUGGUAUUCCGGGGAGCACGCCUGUUCGAGUGUCGUAAAAUUCUCAAACUGGGAUGCUUUUUUGUUUCUCGGCUUGGUGUUGGGCUUUGCAGUUCCUUUGAUUGGGAUAGCUGGCCUCAAAAGCAUUAGCUGGCUUUUCAUGUGGCAUUGGUUCUACUCAGCGUGAUAAUGAUCUGACCGCCGAGGACAUCUUUCGGGAUGGCCAAUUCUCAUUUGGGCUGCUUCUAAUUUUGGUAGAGCGGAUUCUGAAUCUGUUCCACUUUUCAGCUUUUGACCUCGAAUCAGGUGGGACUACCCGCUGAACUUAAGCAUAUCAAUAAGCGGAGGAAAAGAAACUAACAAGGAUUCCCCUAGUAACGGCGAGUGAAGCGGGAAGAGCUCAAAUUUAAAAUCUGGCAGUCUUUGAUUGUCCGAGUUGUAAUCUAGAGAAGCGUUUUCCGCGCUGGACUGUGUACAAGUUUCCUGGAUACGGAACAUCAUAGAGGGUGAGANUCCCGUCCUUGACACAGACUCCCUAGUGCUUUGUGAUGCGCUCUCGACGAGUCGAGUUGUUUGGGAUUGCAGCUCAAAAUGGGAGGNAAANUCCUUCUAAGCUAAAUAUUGGCGAGAGANCGAUAGCGAACAAGUACCGUGAGGGAAAGAUGAAAAGCACUU